rnacentral:sRNA from 1 species
CCCGGCGGCCGCCCCCCGCGGGUCCCUCCCUGGCUGCGGGAGAGACGGAGGUAGAGGGAGGACACAGAGCCGCGCCGCCCGCACCGGAGACCUUCGCCUCGCCCCGCCGGUUCCUCACCCUCGGGGAGCAACAUGGAUAAUCUCAGUGAUACCUUGAAGAAGCUGAAGAUAACAGCUGUUGACAAGACUGAGGAUAGUUUAGAAGGAUGCUUGGAUUGUCUGCUUCAAGCCCUGGCUCAAAAUAAUAUGGAAACAAGUGAAAAAAUCCAAGCAAGUGGAAUACUUCAGCUGUUUGCAAGUCUGUUGACUCCACAGUCUUCCUGCAAAGCCAAAGUAGCUAACAUCAUAGCAGAAGUAGCCAAAAAUGAGUUUAUGCGAAUUCCAUGUGUGGAUGCUGGAUUGAUUUCACCACUGGUGCAGCUGCUAAAUAGCAAAGACCAGGAAGUGCUGCUUCAAACGGGCAGGGCUCUAGGAAACAUAUGUUACGAUAGCCAUGAGGGCAGAAGUGCAGUUGACCAAGCAGGUGGUGCACAGAUUGUAAUUGACCAUUUAAGGUCACUGUGCAGUAUAACAGAUCCCGCCAAUGAGAAGCUCUUGACUGUCUUUUGUGGCAUGCUGAUGAACUAUAGCAAUGAGAAUGAUUCGCUUCAAGCUCAGCUUAUCAAUAUGGGUGUUAUUCCUACCUUAGUGAAAUUACUGGGCAUCCACUGCCAAAAUGCAGCUCUUACAGAAAUGUGUCUUGUUGCAUUUGGUAAUUUAGCAGAACUUGGUAAGUCUUAGUCAUGAACCACAAAUGUAAUUAACUUAUUAAUGUGCUUACAAUAAAUUUUUCUGAGAUAUUAAGAAGCUAGAAAUCCAUUUAGAUUGUAUUAGUUUAUUUUUUGAAGCAUUUGAGAUAUUUCCAUCAAUAUUUUAAAAAGUAAAUCCAAUUAG